rnacentral:rRNA from 1 species
UACGGAGGGUGCAAGCGUUGCUCGGAAUUAUUGGGCGUAAAGGGCAGGUAGGUGGUCCUAUUUGUCUGGGGUGAAAUCCCUGAGCUUAACUCAGGAAGUGCCCCAGAAACGGUAGGACUAGAGUCUUAGAGAGGUUCGUGGAAUUCCCGGUGUAGCGGUGAAAUGCGUAGAGAUCGGGAGGAACACCAGCGGCGAAGGCGGCGAACUGGAUAAGUACUGACACUCAACUGCGAAAGCGUGGGGAGCAAACAGG